UUCCCUGUGAGGAAGAUCUCCCAAAAAUUGAUAGGAAGUGCCGUAUGACACUCCAAACAGCAGCGUCGUGUUCAUUACCAACCAGCAAUGUCACGAAAGCAACGCUUUUUUCUCAUCCACCGAUGGCAAAACCCUAAUUCUGCCGUUGGUCGAGAAAAAUUCACUGCUUUUGCGGCGCAGGUUGGUUUGUCCCACGCUGUGUGUGUGAUUUGAAACGGGUCUCUGAGGGUU